GGGACUACCCUCCUCCUCAGCUUCUUCCAGCCUUUCUGUAAUUGAAACACAGGGGUCUCCAGCUUCUGUCCAUUGGUUGGCUCUUCUGAAUCACCAGUCACUAGGGAAAUGAAAACCAGAACCACACUGAAGACCUGAGAGAUGGCUCAGCAGGGUCUGUCAAUGGAUGAACCAGCAGAGAAAAUUUCAAAGUACUUAGUAAAUUCUUCAGUGAGUGUUGAAGAUACUCACAACUGGAUACCAUUUUGAUCCCUGACCAUUUCAGAAAGACCAAUAAACA